AUUCAGCUGACGAGUCUCAAAAAAGAUGAAAUGUGCGUCUUGGAU
rnacentral:hammerhead_ribozyme from 1 species